rnacentral:lncRNA from 12 species
AUACAAACCUCACAACAGAUGACAUGAUCUGAUGCAUCACCAAGACAUCAAGGAAAAUUAAGCUUAGGAUGAGUCUCAAGCUCUGUGCAAUCAGUCACCAUUCCUGCAUACAGGCAGACUGUGAAGAAGCUGUUUCUAGGACUCUGCUGCUUGACAAGUCCCUAAAAUGCAUUAUGGAAUUGCAAGCUAAAGCCAAGGCAUACCCAUUCAACAGUGACUCACUGUGCAGCCUC